rnacentral:misc_RNA from 1 species
GUGCAAUGUCCUUCAUGUGACGGGGAUCCAAAGGAAUGCAGCGUCUGGGGUCACUGCAUCACCACUUCUUUUUAGGCUCUCGUAAACCUCUCUUAAACCCUUGCCCUUUCUAUUCGUUCAUCUCUAUCUGUACUUUUAGCUACUCUCCUGAUUCAACAGAAGUCAUUUACGACAAUCUUCUGAAGUCCUGUGAUGGCUUGGCUUUUCUCAAACAGAUACAUUUGGUUCUCACCACCACCAGUCUCAUCGAUAAAAGCCCUCACUUGGGUGCCCAAAUUAUCAUCAAAUAUGCUCAAUUUGGAGACCCCAAUUCCGCUAGAGCGUUGUUCGAUCAUAUUAAUAUCCAUGGUGACAAGCCUAGUUCUUUCCUUUGGAAUACGAUGAUUCGGGCUUAUGCAAAUGGUGGCCACUGCUUCGAAACGUUGCAGUUAUAUUCGGUCAUGCACAGAGCCGGCAUUUCACCGAACAACUACACUUUUCCUUUCAUAUUUAAGGUCUGUGCUUCGAACUCGUUGAUUCUUCUAGGGAAAGUGGCUCAUGGAGAUGCUUUGAAAACUGGAUUCGAUUCGGAUUUAUAUGUUGAGGCUGCGUUGGUGGACAUGUACGCAAAAGGCGAUCAAUUUUGUGAUGGUCGCAAGAUUUUCGACGAAAUGUCGAUGAAGGAUUUAGUUUGCUGGACAGCAAUGAUCACAGCCUAUGAACAGGCUGAGAAGCCUGAAGAGGCUCUCAUUUUGUUCCAAAAAAUGCAACAGGAGGGGCUUUUGGCGGAUUCAGUUACUAUUGUGAGCGUUGCCUCUGCUAUUGGUCGAUUAGGACAUGCCAAGAGGGCUCAAUCAGUUCAUUGUUAUGCCAUUCGCCAUUUGUUUCUCGAGGAAAUAUGUGUUGCCAACUCAGUUAUUGCUAUGCAUGCCAAAUGUGGGGAUAUGGAUAAGGCUCGCUUGGUUUUUGAUAUGAUGGAUGAAAGAAAUUCUAUCUCGUGGAACUCUAUGCUUUCGGGCUAUACCCAAAAUGGAAAAGCCAGUGAAGCUCUGCUACUUUUUGAUGAGAUGCGUGAUUCUGGAUGUGAACUUAACCCAGUGACAGCAUUGAUCAUGGUUGCAGCCUCUGCUUAUUUGGGCUCGUCCCAUCUUGGAAGGAAAUUCCAUGAUUUUAUUCUUGAUAGUAAAAUGAAAGUUGACAUGAACCUUUGGAAUGCGCUGAUGGACAUGUAUGCCAAAUGUGGAGACCUAGAAACUGCUGUGGAAAUAUUCAGUGGUAUUCAUCCAAGUGAGCGGGAUGUUUGUUCUUGGAAUGUAUUGAUUUCUGGGUAUGGCAUGCAUGGAUAUGGAAAAGAAGCGCUGAAACUCUUCUCUAGAAUGCAAGAGGAAGGUGUUGAGCCAAACCACAUUACUUUCACAUCAAUUCUUUCUGCUUGUAGCCAUGCAGGCCUUGUUGAUGAAGGGAGAAAGUGUUUCAGAGACAUGACAAAGUCCGUGACACCAGAGAUGAAACACUAUGCUUGCAUGGUUGAUAUGCUUGGACGAGCUGGGCUCUUGCAGGAAGCAUUUGAUCUUAUUAAAGAAAUGCCAGCACCUCCAAAUGAUUCUGUAUGGGGUGCUCUGCUUUUGGCUUGCAAAAUCCAUGGGAACAUGGAAUUAGGGAAAAUUGCAGCCAACAAUCUAUUCCAGCUUGAGCCAAACCAUACGGGAUACUAUGUGUUAAUGUCAAACAUAUAUGCAGCUUCAAACAGGUGGCAAGAAGUUGGGAAACUGAGACAAGAUAUGAAGAAUAAGGGCCUGAAGAAACCUGCAGCGUUUAGUGUGAUUGAGUAUGGCAGUGAAAUUCAUGGGUUCCACACAGCUGACCAUGAAAACCCAUAUUGGCAAGAGGUUUACAGAAAAGUCGAGAGCUUGACGAUUGAAAUGAAGUUGGCUGGGUAUAUACCAGAUCUAUCAUGUGCUCUGCAUGAUGUGGAAGAGGAAGAUAAGGAGCACAUCUUAAACUAUCACAGUGAGAAGCUAGCUGUGGCUUUUGGAAUUCUGAUGAUUGAUUCAGGAAUGGCAAUUCGAGUCACGAAAAAUCUUCGGGUUUGCAAUGACUGUCAUUUAGCCUUCAAGUAUAUUUCGUGCAUAUAUGGACGGAGGAUUAUUGUAAGAGAUGCAAAUCGGUUCCAUCACUUUCAAGGUGGCAGUUGCUCAUGCAAGGAUUAUUGGUAAAUAGUACAUGUUAAACCCUAGCAACUCAGCUUUGAUGGUCAAGUAUUGACAUUGAAGUCUUUUGGAAGGUUCUCAUAAAUUUUACGUAGAUCAAGGAAUAGAGUAAAGGUAAUCUAAUACUAUCCAUCCAAGAAAAAGUCAAAUAGUUAGCGCGUGGAAUAAAAGAUCUAAUGUGGCAGUCAAAACAUCAACGAUGGAGCCAAAUUAUCCAACACUGAACAGUAUCAACCAAACAAAAAGAUAGCUCGACCUAGUCUUGAGCUGGACAGCAAUAAGAGUAAUGUUGUCACUCGGGAAACAAGCCAAGCUUAAUUUAUACCGAGUAAUAAUAGCAUCAAGCAAAAAUAAAGCAGAUUAUCAGGAGGCAACUAGGGAUGUCAACUCAAGAUUGUUUCUGUGUUUAAGUCAAUGAUUAUUUUUCCUAAAGCCUAUAAAUACGCAUACACGCUGUCCAAAUCAAUACUACAUUAUUCUUUUAUUCUUUUAUUCUCAUAUUAUUAUUUUCUAAUUUAAGCAUUGGAGUGGUCGGCCAAGAGGGCCACUGACCUCACCUUUCUUUGUUU